rnacentral:rRNA from 1 species
UGGGGAAUAUUGGACAAUGGGCGCAAGCCUGAUCCAGCAAUGCCGCGUGAGUGAUGAAGGCCUUAGGGUUGUAAAGCUCUUUCGCACGCGACGAUGAUGACGGUAGCGUGAGAAGAAGCCCCGGCUAACUUCGUGCCAGCAGCCGCGGUAAUACGAAGGGGGCUAGCGUUGUUCGGAAUUACUGGGCGUAAAGGGCGCGUAGGCGGCCUGUUUAGUCAGAAGUGAAAGCCCCGGGCUCAACCUGGGAAUAGCUUUUGAUACUGGCAGGCUUGAGUUCCGGAGAGGAUGGUGGAAUUCCCAGUGUAGAGGUGAAAUUCGUAGGUAUUGGGAAGAACACCGGUGGCGAAGGCGGCCAUCUGGACGGACACUGACGCUGAGGCGCGAAAGCGUGGGGAGCAAACAGGAUUAGAUACCCUGGUAGUCCACGCCGUAAACGAUGAACGCUAGACGUCGGGGUGCAUGCACUUCGGUGUCGCCGCUAACGCAUUAAGCAUUCCGCCUGGGGAGUACGGCCGCAAGGUUAAAACUCAAAUGAAUUGACGGGGUCAUAGCUGUUUCCU